GAUGAACGCUGGCGGCGUGCCUAAUACAUGCAAGUCGAGCGAACAGACGAGGAGCUUGCUCCUCUGACGUUAGCGGCGGACGGGUGAGUAACACGUGGAUAACCUACCUAUAAGACUGGGAUAACUUCGGGAAACCGGAGCUAAUACCGGAUAAUAUAUUGUACCGCAUGGUUCAAUAGUGAAAGACGGUUUUGCUGUCACUUAUAGAUGGAUCCGCGCUGCAUUAGCUAGUUGGUAAGGUAACGGCUUACCAAGGCAACGAUGCGUAGCCGACCUGAGAGGGUGAUCGGCGACACUGGAGCUGAGACACGGUCCAGAGUCCUACGGGAGGCAGCAGUAGGGAAUCUUCCGCAAUGGGCGAAAGCUUGACGGAGCAACGCGGAGUGAGUGAUGAAGGUCUUGGGAUCGUAAAACUGUGUUAUUAGGGAAGAACAAAUGUGUAAGUAACUAUGCACGUCUUGACGGUACCUAAUCAGAAAGCCACGGCUAACUACGUG
rnacentral:rRNA from 1 species